CUUGAAGACAAAGAGUGGGUGGAAGUGUCCGGACAAGAUGGAAAGGCACCAGGGACCACAGCUGGGCUUCAUCAUCUGUUCAUUCAGUCGGCAUGCAUUGCCUGUGCUCCUACUGUGUUCUGGGCCCAGGACCAGGCUGAGGACACGCCGUGAGCAAAACAGACAAGUCCCUGUUUCCCAGAGCUGACACUAGAGGCCAGACCACGCGUGAAUAAGCACACGGAUGAUUAAACAAGAUCAUCUCAUAGACUGGCAAGCGUGAUGAAAGAAAAUAAAGCCAAGGGCCAGUCCUCUGGGCUCCAUCUAUGAAACAAAUGCUCGGCACCCUCCAGGAAGCACUUCUUAGGGAUAAAUAAAUAACCAGGGAGCUAAUCGAGUACGCACCUUGCCA